GUGCUUGCUUCGGCAGCACAUACACUAAAAUUGUAACAAUACAGAGAAGGUUAGCAUGGCCCCUGUGCAAGGAUGACAUGCAAAUUUGUGAGACGUUAAAAACAACA